rnacentral:hammerhead_ribozyme from 1 species
AUCCAGAUGAUGAGUCCCAAACAGGACGAAAUGCGCAUCCUUCAU